rnacentral:rRNA from 1 species
CCCUUAGAUGUUCUGGGCCGCACACGCGCUACACUGAAGGAGGCAGCGUGUACUCCUGGAUCGAAAGAUUUGGGUAACCCGCGAAUCUCCUUCGUGCUAGGGAUUGAGGUUUGCAAUUAUCCUUCAUGAACGAGGAAUUCCCAGUAAGUGCAAGUCAUAAGCUUGCGCUGACUACGUCCCUGCCCUUUGUACACACCGCCCGUCGCUACUACCGAUUGAAUGGUUUAGUGAGGACUUCGGACUGGGACCGAUGCGGCUUUCGGGCUGCGUCGGUAUUCUGGAAAGAUGUCCAAACUGUAUCAUUUAGAGGAAGUAAAANUCGUAACA